AUGGGGCGAUCAACCCACGCGCUGCUCCUCCUAGUCGUCGCCGUCGCAGCGGCGACCUGCUCCUCGGCUGCGGCCCAGGUGCCACCCGAGGUGGCCGCAGUCUGCAAGACCACCCCGUUCGCGGAUCUGUGCAGCGCCACGGCCGGGAAGCAGGCGGGGCACUACACCACCAUGGACGCGGUGGCGGUGUUGAACAUGCAGGUGGACGCCUUCGCGAAGCGCACGUCGGCGGCGAAGGAGCACGUGACCCAGAUGUCCGCCGAGGCGAGCCCCGCGGCCAAGAAGGCGCUGGAGUUGUGCGAUAGCCUCUACUCGGACGUGGAGGACAACCUCGGUGCGGCACGCCGUGCCUUAGGCUUCAAGGACGCCACAACCGUCCGAGCCAUGAUGAGCAUGGCGGCCCAGGACAUGCAGAACUGCGACGAGGAGUUUAGGAAAGUCGGUGAGAAGAACCCCAUGGACCGCUUCGACCAGUCGCUCCUAAAGAUAUCUGAGAACUGCCGCGCCCUCUCCAACAUGAUCUAA
rnacentral:rRNA from 1 species